UUAAAGAAUCUUCAGAUACGCCUGGUAACUUGAAAGAGUCACUUACUUCCAUAAAUAAGUGGAAGUGCAAAUGAGGAUAUUUAGCAGGUAUCCCACUGAACUGUCCCAUUGUUUGCAACAUUUGGAACAUGAUAGACCAAGAUCGAGUUGCGCGCGGACCAAGAUCGAGUUGCCAAGUCACUGGAAAAGUCUUACGAAAACUAUCGACACUUAGAUCUAAAACGAAAACAGAAAACAAAAAAUUAAAAUUAAAAGACCAAGAAAACUAAAUUGAAAUAGAAUGAUACUUGGGCGACAAGAAAGGAUGAAGAAAGAACAUUUCUUGAUGCCAAAGAAUGUUGCCAAAAUAGAUCCUUGAAGCUUGGAAUGGCUGGAAAUGCAACAAGAACAAUUAAACCAAGUUAAUCAACAAUUCGAC
rnacentral:lncRNA from 1 species